rnacentral:lncRNA from 1 species
UCUCUGAUGUUGGUUUUAUACUGGCUGAAGGAGACUCACUUCACAUGAUUACUUUGCUCAAUUUGAAGAAUGAAGAACCAAGGGAAAAGAUGUCACUACAGGACUGUGAAGGAGGUGUUUUGGUAGAACAGCUUAAUUAAAAUUAAAGAGAAAACCUAAGAAAACCCUCACACAUUUCCAAAAAAGACCUGUUCCCUGUUAUUGCCAUCUUAUCCCUUUUUUCUGGAGUGAAGAUACCUGCUUAAUCUCUCUCCUUUCACUGCCAACCCCACUUUAGAAGACCCCACAUUGCAUGGUGGCAAGCUCCAAUCUCUG